rnacentral:tRNA from 1 species
GAGGGUAUAGCUCAAGGGAUAGAGUGCAUGCUUAGCAUGCAUGAGGUCCUGGGUUCAAUCCCCAGUACUUCCU